rnacentral:rRNA from 1 species
CCUACGGGGGGCAGCAGUGAGGAAUAUUGGUCAAUGGACGAAAGUCUGAACCAGCCAAGUAGCGUGAAGGAUGACUGCCCUAUGGGUUGUAAACUUCUUUUAUAUGGGAAUAAAAUGUUCCACGUGUGGGAUUUUGUAUGUACCAUAUGAAUAAGGAUCGGCUAACUCCGGGCCAGCAGCCGCGGUAAUACGGAGGAUCCGAGCGUUAUCCGGGUUUAUUGGGUUUAAAGGGAGCGUAGGUGGAUUGUUAAGUCAGUUGUGAAAGUUUGCGGCUCAACCGUAGAAUUGCAGUUGAAACUGGCAGUCUUGAGUAAAGUAGAGGUGGGCGGAAUGCGUGGUGUAGCGGUGAAAUGCGUAGAUAUUAGGAAGAACACCAGUGGCGAAGGCGGAUUACUGGACGACAACUGACGGUGAGGCGCGAAAGCGUGGGUAGCAAACAGGAUUAGAUACCCCUGUAGUC